GAUUAACGCUGGCGGCGUGCAUAACACAUGCAAGUCGAACGAUGAAACUUAAAUGAUUUCUUCGGAAUGAACUUAAGUGGAUUAGUGGCGGACGGGUGAGUAACGCGUGAGUAACCUGCCUUACACAAGGGGAUAGCCGUUGGAAACGACGAAUAAUACCCUAUGAAACUAUCACUUCGCAUGAAGCGAUAGUCAAAGUGUUAGCGGUGUAAGAUGGACUUGCGUCUGAUUAGCUAGUUGGUGAGAAAAAAGCCCACCAAGGCAACGAUCAGUAGCCGGCUUGAGAGAGUGUACGGCCACAUUGGGACUGAGGCACGGCCCAGACUCCUACGGGAGGCAGAAGUGGGGAAUUUUGCACAAUGGGGGAAACCCUGAUGCAGCGACGCCGCGUGAUUUAGAAGGCCUUCGGGUUGUAAAAAUCUUUUGUAUAGGAAGAAAAUGACAGUACUAUACGAAUAAGGUCCGGCUAAUUACGUG
rnacentral:rRNA from 1 species